ensembl:lncRNA
AAUCCGCUUUGUGAGGCUGGGGCUCCUCACUGUCUCUUACAUCAGUUGACCCCUCCUCAGAAAAUGGAUAAACACACUCUGUCUGGUGUAUUCAUACAGUGGGUUCCUAACUCCAAAAUAAAAUGGAAAGAACUAUGGAUUCAUGCAACAACACAGAUUAAUCUAAAAAUCGUUAUACUGACCAAAAAGAGAGGCACACAAAAACCUACCUAAUGCAUGAUUCCAUUUAUAUGAAAUUCUAGAGAGGGAAAAACUAAGCUAUACUGUCAGAAAAUAGAUCAAUUGAUGUUUGGAGGUUCCGAUGUUUUGGACGUGUGGAGGGACUGAGAGCAAAGGGGCAAAAGGGAAUUUUUCGGAUGAUGAAUACUAUUAGAUCUGUAUCUUAAUUACUUUGUUAUGUACUCAAGUGAAUCUAUUGGUCAAAACUUACCAAAUUCUACACUUAAAAUAGCUACAUUUUAUUUUACAUACAUUUUACCUCAAAGACUGGAUUGGAAAAAAAAUGAAGAGUAUAAAGAAUAUCAUCCUAAAGUCCUUGUUUUGCAAGCAGAUUUUGCUACACAGUUGAAAUUGACCAUUAUCAUGGCAGAGAAGGCUAACUCUUCUUUAUAACUGUUAUGAAAAUAUUUAAACACUAAAAAAAUCAUUUGGAAAAGAAUAACACUAAGUCGGGGUGUGGCAGAGAAUGAGAAGACAGCAGAGGGGAGGAACAAGGCAAGAACGAAGCAAUCUUGGGUGCAGAAAAGGCUUGGUGAAUAUGAGGGCGAAGUCACAGGCCCUAUUAGGAGUAAUCUCAACAUCCGCCUGAAGGGAAUUUCGUGGGCUGUGGACCCCAACUCCCGGGACCCAUGUGCCUGGACUGCGGGAAUCUGAUCUAGGCCAGAUCCCCUCUCCCUGGAGCAGGCGGGUCAGCACAGAGAGAGAGCAGCUCAUCCCUUAGAGAGGACCACUGAUGGGAGCUCAGCCCUUAGGGAGGACCACGGAUGGGGAGGCGGCCCUGGCUCCUCCCAGUUGGCAAGUCCUGAUUUGCUCACUGCUGUGAUCCAGCUGUGACUCUGGGUUCAGUCCAUCUCUCCCCUCACAAUCCUUCAGGGAUUCUUCUCGUAAAGGUGAGAUUUGGCUGUUCUGGCCUUCCACAUAAGUGGGGACAUGCAGCAUGCACUGUUUCUGGUGUAAGGCCUCUUCUAAUUAGUAAGAUGCUGUUUCGAUUCAUCUCUAUUGUUGCCCAUUAUCAGGGAUUCUUUCCUGGAUAGCUGAGUAGUAUGAAUACUUCACAAUUUGUUUUUCUAUUCUCUUACGGAUUGGCACCAGAGGUAUUUCCCGGGUAGGUGAAUGUUUAGUUUUAUGAGAAACUGUGACUGUCUUUCAUAGCAGCGGCACCAUUUUAUCUUCUCACUAGAAGCAAGAAGCCUUCCAGGUGCUCCCCAUCCCAGCGAGCAUUUGGAGCUGUCAGACUUGCGAUCUUCACCCUUUCUGGUGGUUGCAUAAUGGUCUCUCUCACUGUGGUUCAAUUUUAAUUUCCCUGAUGGCUAAUGGUGUUGAACAUUUUUUAAAGGGCUUAGUGAACAUUUGUGAAUCGCUUUUUGGAAAGGGAUUGUUUAAAUGUUUUGCCCAUUUUUUAUUGGGUGGUUGGUCAUAUUAUUAUUAUUGUUAUUAUUCUUAUUACUAUUUAUCCUAACGGGAAAAAGAGAUUCAGCAGGAACAGCAAAAGGAGAGUUAGAAUUUGGGCAUCUCGUUUCAUGAUCAAUAUCUCGUGCAGGGAUGGGUAUAGGGGCAGACAGGGUUGGGGGCCUGGCAGGCAGGUCAGCCAAGUCAGUGUCCAGUAAUAAGGCAGGAGCUGGGAUGUGCAAGGUGCAAGUGGCAGGGGUCUCUGCAGUGCUGCAGCAGGCAGGAAGGAAGAACAGGCAGGCUGAUUGGCACUGCAGUCUGAAGUGGCCUCAGUUUUAUCCUCCAACACCUCGUGGUUCCGUUGGAGCUCAGCUUUCUCCUCCAAGCCUAGGUCCUCACCAAUGACUACGCAAGGAACCCAGGAGAUGGAGGCAGCUUUUCUCCUCCCAAAACACUAGCAGUGGCGGCAGCAAGGGGCGCAGACAUUUUCGUUUACAGAGCCUACAACUGGCAGAUGGCUUCGGAAAGUUCCUUCUUGACGGAGUAUCUGAAGCUUUGUUCCCUGUGUCCCCUCUGACUUCAGUGAGGCUGGAGAGCUGGGUGGAUGGCCUUCGUCCAGCUUUUGCUUUGUCCACCUCUUUGGCAGCAGGGGUAGGUUGAGAAUGGGCCACACAGCCCCCUACAUUCAGGUCAGUCCUCCACAGAGAGGGGCGGCCUCCAGGAGGGCUUUAAGAGCUGGGGAUGACAUGGCCUUUGGUGAAUGUGUAACAGCUAGAUCUUAAGUCAGCAUGAGGGCAGCCAGCUUAGGGAAAGGAAGCAAUAUUGAAUUACAGCCCUGCCUCACUAGUCUCUGUGAAUAUGUUCUCGCCUGCAUGUAGCCUAGGUGAUUAAGCACCUCUCACUUUUGCAGAAUACAUGAUCUGAUAGUUCUAUGACUCUUGCUUAUGUCUAUUUCCCAGCCGUGGUAAGACAAUAACUGUUCUCUGAGUUCCUCAGGAACAUGACGACUUCCAGGAAGAAAAAUCCUGCAUUGGUACCCAUCACAAAUGACAGAAGAAAGAAAGAAUGUGGCGCCUUGAAGUUCGUCACACGGGAUGGUCAACACCCACAAACCCCCUCCUUCACUGUCGGUUUCCCCUAUAUAACUGCCUCAAGAUUCUGUAUGAUUUGAGCAUGCUUCUUCAGGACACCAGUCCACCAUCUUCCGAUUAUGCUUAGCUAAUCAGAUAAAUUCUUUCCUCAACCACUGGCUUAUUUGCAAUUGAUUGGCACCAGGCUGCAUCGAGCAGGAGCCCCUUUUUGCUCGGUUAUAAAUGGGCUCAGAAGAUGUUUUCACUUUCUUAUUCAAGGUGUCUCCUGGGAGCUGGGAAUGGAGGUUUCCCUUGGAGGCCCAGGACUGCGCCGGAAGGAAGUGAGGGCCGCACCACCCCUGCGGGGUCCAGGGCCCUACCUGCUGAAGGCCCCCUCUCACUGCUAUGGGGGCCAGCGAGGAGCACUUCUCUGACGGUCCAUCCUGUGCUAUUUUUCUCCUCUUCUCUGCUCUUCCUUUUGUAGGAUCUUCAGGUGUGUCCCCUUUAGGCAAAGAUCUAGUGGCGACGGGAUGGCCCAGGCCUCGGAGAGGAGGCUGCCUGCUCAAGCGCCAAACGGAAGAGAGUCAUUUUGCAUCCUGGAGGAGGAAUUGUGCCCGUUCCUGAGGAGAGGAGCAACUUGGAAGAGCAAGCAGACAGCAAUGGCUUCUGAGACCCGAAGGUCAGACACACACACACCGCACCAAGGCAAGGACUCACAGAGAGGAGCACUGGGCCUGCCAGACCAGACCUUAGCUUAGCCUCUUAGCCGCAGUGUAAAAUAGGGGCGAUAAGGACCCGCGACUGCAGUAAACAGCCCGAACCAGGCCGGGAGGGUUAUUUAGACCAGACAGGAACGGAGCGGGGCGGGCGGGUGCGAGGCUUGUUGAGGAACGUGCCCCCGAGGAGCAGUUUGCGCGCUGUGGGAUCCUUGGAGAGGACUGGGACCCUCGGGGAGGUCUCCUGGCUGCCAGCUCUCCGCGCUAGGCACACACCGUCCAGCCGGCUGUGGUGAGACACCGUUGGAACGGGUGACAGAGACAGGGCGCGCGAGCCUAGGGCAGGAGGAAGUAGCGACAAAGGGCAAAGGGAGAGGUCCAACGGCCCAACCCCAGGUGGCCUCGACCUCCCCGGGACUCCGCGCAGAUGUGAAGUAUUGCGGGGGCUCACCCUCAUAUGUGCCCCCCACAAUGUAGGGACUCUUUGGGUCUGCGGCUGCUCGACCCUGCAGCGCCUGGCCCGGGGACAGUAGCUUCUGCGAUCAGUGUCCAAGCAUCCUGCAGCUACUUCCCCGGGGUCACCGGAGGGAAGAACCUGCUCAGAGUCAGAGGAGCAGCCCAGCUCCAGUGGAACUUCCCAAGCCAGUGUAUCGGCCUCUGACCAGCCUCAUCUUAACCCAUCUCCUAUGGCAUGUACAAAAGGACCUUGAGGUGUGGGGCCUCUGCUUGCUAUAGGAAGAAAAAGAGGUUAAGUUUGUGUGACGUAACUGGAAUGGGCUGAGCCUCUUCCUAGCGGAGUGAAGUUCACUCGUGGGAGACACUGGCCAUCUGCCACCAUGUCUAGAGGAAACUUUUGCAUCUGGGCCGUUGAGUUCCUGCCUCUUUCACUAGAAGAAAAUGAAUGAACUGGCGAUUUACCACUUGCAUCUGGGCAGGUGAGGAGAGUGCCUUAAAAAAGAGGCUGCUGUUGGCCAGGUCCACCACAGAGGCAGUUACUCUAACCAGAGGCAGGAGCAAAGUGUGCCUGAAUCGCAGGUAUUUUCUCAGUGGAUUUGGCUCCUACAAAGCCAGCAGGCGGUAUCCUGGCUGGCUAGGCCCCAGGUGUCUGACUGAAGGCUAGAACAGAAGUAUCUUCCUAAAAACGUACAGUGUCCCUUCUGGCUCUGGCCACAAACACCCCAGGUGCUCCGAAUGAUGGUGGGAACAGAAAUAGCCCCAAACACAGGAAUGGUGCCGUCUCCUCCCACUGCACCUGGCAGUGCACCAGUGCCCUGGACUGGAAGGUCCCUCGUGCUCUGACUGGAUUCACAGGGGACUUAGCACCAUGGGCACCUACAACGAGCACACGCACUGCCUACUAGCAGGUCUGGAUUGGUUCAACUCCUAAGGCACCCACAGGCCACGCUGGGCUCCGGUAUCCUCGGAAUCUUCUGGGAGCUCUGGAAAGGAGGACACAGCACCAAUUGUCAGCAUCACCCCUUCAGGCAUUUCUUCACUAAGGGAGCCAUGCAGCAAACCACACAGCUGUCUGUGAGCUUUCUUCCCCCAGGUGCAGGAUCCACCCUGGCUGAAAAGUCUUAUGUCCCAAGGACACCAGCGUAUGUUGUAAUAAUUCCAUGGAUCCACUUUAAGGACCCUGAUCGAAAUUAACAACUUUCCAAUCUUAAAUUUUCCAUUCCAUCAAAAUGGUACAUAUUUCCUUAUAUUUAGGACUUUCAGAUUUUCUCUCAGAAAACACUUUGCUGUAGGGAUUGACAAUUAACAGCCCAUGGGCCAAGAUUGUGCCGCAGCCUGUUUUUGUAAAGCCAAUGAGCUGAGGAUGGUGUUAACAACUAUUAAAGUUUGUUAAAAAAAAAAAAAAAAGAAAGAAAAGGAAAAAGAAGAAAAAGAAAAAUGGAGAAUAUGCAACAAGACCAUAUGUAACCUGCAAAGUCUGUGUUAUUUAUUAUCUGGCCCUUUACAGAAAAAUUUGCCAACACCUCUUUUGUAGUUGUAGUGGUGUUAGACAACACUUGCUAAUCUAUUCCUAAAUUUCUUCUAUGCUAUCACAAAUGGUACCUUUUAAAUUUUAGUUUUCAAUUAUUCAUUGGUAGAAAAUACAACUGAUUUUUAUAUGUUAACCUUGUAUGCUGGAUUUUGUCAUUUUUGUAGUGAAGUGUUUAAGCACACUUUAUAUAAAGAUAUUUCUAACAAUCUAUUUUCAAGAUUCAUUCAGCAAGUGUUAUUUUAGUGAAUGGAAGUAAUACCCAUUCUGUAGAACUUGUAGUAAUUAUUUCUAGUAUUUUCUUUGUAGAUUCCUUAGGAUUUUCUAAACACACAAUCAUGUUUUCAACGAAUAAAGAUAGUUUUACUUCCUUUUUAUUCUGUGGCCUUUUAUUUAUUUUUUAUACCUUUAUAGUUGCUAUAAUUACAGUAAAAUGUUGAGAAAAGGUAGAGCUAAUAGGCAUCUUUUUCCCACUCCUGAUCUUAAGGGAAAAGUGUUCAGCAAGCGAUUAAAUGAAGGUUUGUUGCACUUUAUCACUUGAAGGAAGUUUCCUCUAAUUACUAUUUUGCUGAAAGGGAUUUUCUAUUUCCUCUAAUUACUAUUUUUUGAAAGGGAUGUUCAAUUUUGUCAAUUACUUUGCCCACAGUUUUAAGAUAAUCACAUGGCUUUUCUCCUUUAUUUUCUAAAUGUGAUGAAUUACUUUGACUGCUUUCUGAGUGUUAAACCAAACUUGCAUGCUUGGCACAAAUCCCAUUGGUACUCCUAGAUCAUCAUUUUAUAUUUGGUUGGAUUAGAUUUCCUAAAAUGUAGUUAAAGAUUUUUUAUCUCUGUGUUCAUGAGGGAUAUUGAACUGUGAAUUUCUUUGUCAUUAGGUUUGGUAUUAGGAUAAUACUGGCCUAGAAGAAUGAGUUAGGAAAAAUUUCCUCCAUCUCUACUCUCUGAAAGAUUUUAUAUAACACUAGUAAAAUAUUGUCCUUACAAGUCUGAUAGAAUUCACCAGGAAAACCAUCUGGAUCUUUAGUUUUCAUCAUGGAAAGGAGUUUAGAGUCACUUGGCCACUUGUUGUCCUUUUAAUAUCUGUCAGAUCUGUAGUGAUGCACCCCUCUUUAUUCCUGAUGUUGGCCAUUUGAUUUUUUCCUUUCUAUUUCUUGAUAUAACUUGCUAGAGGUUUAUCAGUUUUAUUAAUCUUUUAAAAAUCCACAUUUAGCUUUGUUAAUUUUCUCUAAUACACAUUUUCUAUUUCUACUCUUCUACUAUUUCUUUAUCUCUCCUGACUUUGGUUUUAAUUUACUCUCCUAUUUCUCUAAUCUUAGGAUGGAAAACUAAAUCUUUGUUUUAAAAUCUUAUCUUUUGAUACAAGCACUUAACUCUGUAACAUUCUCUUAAGUACUGCUUGAGCUACAUCUCAAAAAUUUUGAUUUGCUGUGUUUUAGUUAUCAUUAAAUUCAAAAUGUUUUCUAAUUUUCCCAAUUUCUUCUUUGACCCAUUGGUUAAAUAGAAGUUUGUUUUAUUUACGCAUAUUUGAAUAUUUUCUAGAUAUCUUACUGGUUUUGAUUUCUACUUUAAUUCUAUUGCUGUCAGGUAAAAAUACUCUGCAUGAUUUCUCUCUCUUAAAAUUUGCCAAGACAUUUUUUUUUUUUUGCCCAGUAUAUGCUUAUCUUCAUGAACAUUCCACGUACAGUUGAAAAAGAAUAUGUAUUCAGUUAUUUUUGUGUACAAUAUUUUAUAAUAUUUGCUAUUUUAUUUAUUUUAUAAUUGCCAAUUAAAUGAAGAUAAAUCUUCUAUGCUCUUACUUGUUUUUGUCUACCUGUUCUAAUAAAUAUUGUGAGAGGGUUGUUAAAAUCUCAAACUAUUAUUGUAAUCUGUCUACUUUAGUUUGGACAGUUUUUGCCUUAUAUAUUUUGAAAUUCUGAUAUUAAGUGCAUAAACAUUUAAGAUAUUUUUAUCUUCCUAGUGAAUUGACCCUUUUGUCAUUAGAACACGUCCCUCUGUAUAGCCAGUAACAAUCCUUGUCUUGAAAUCUGAUUUGACUGAUGUUAAUUUAGCCCCAUCGUAUCUGUUAUUCUUAGAAUGACCAGCAUCCCAGGUUGCCAGGAAAUGUCCCGCUUUCAGCCCUGUAGUCCCACAUCCUGGAAAAACUCCCAAUUCCUGGCAAAAUGGGAACGUUAGUCACCGUUGUUAUCCUAGUGUUCGCAUGGUAUAUCUUGUUACAUCAUUUUGUUUUCAACCUCAUAUAAAACAAAUAUAGUUGGGUCUUGCUUUUGCUCAUCCAGUUAAGGAAACUCUGCCUUUUAAAUGGCGUGGUUGGUCCAAUUAUAUUUAAUGUGAUUACUUAUUUGGUUGCAUUCAAAUCUGCUAUCUAUGUAGUGUAGAAUAAUUCCAGGUGCUUCACAUCCUUGCUGACAUUUGCAAUGGCAGAUUUUUUCAAAUUUAUUCUGGUGACGUGUAGUGGUAUCUCACUGUGGUUUUUUUAUUUCCCUCGUUACUAACAAUGCUGAGCACUUUUCGUGUACUUAUUGGACAUUAGUGAAUAUUUUUUGGUAAGGGAUUGAUAACAUUUACUUUCUAGGGUUGCUUUAAGAGAUUUUGAACAUUGCAUAAAGCAUAAUGUUAGUACACAAUAAAUGCCAAG